AAGGUGGUAACUUUGUGGAAGGA
rnacentral:piRNA from 1 species